UUUGUAUUACGUGCGGAAAUUGUUACCAUUUUCGGCUCAAAAAUGGUAACAAUUUCCGCACGUAAUACAAA
rnacentral:miRNA from 1 species